rnacentral:lncRNA from 1 species
CUAUAUAUAUUUCAGGAGGGGGGGGGGACGUAUAUAAGCCUUAUGCUAAGUAAAUGAGAUAUCUUAUAUAUGUUUCUAACUAUAUGUCCAAGCCAAACUUAAUUCAUUAUUGCUUUUAAUUUGAUUCACAUGAAUUCUACCAGGCCAAGCCAAACUAAGCUCUAUGCCUGACAAUUUGGCCGAGUCUAUAAUCCCAACCUUGACUCCAUAUUAACUUGACAUAUACAUAGUCCUCAAAGUCCUAGACAUAUUUAUUUUCUUAGUAGACUUGUAUAAGUAAACGUUUGGGCAAAACAUACUCUCUUAUUGCUUUUGGCCAAAGUGAUCGAUUUGGAGUCUUCUUAAUGGAAACCAAGCAUAUGAAAUCAAUGUCAAAAUCACAAUCUUGCAAAAUUCCAAAGCACAGGCACAUGUUGUCCACACUCCUCAAGCUAAGAAUCAAGACUUUUGUGCUACGUGUCAAUGUCGCGUGUCAGAUGAUAAUUGUAGUAGUGGAGCCAACUAGCCAAGAGCCUCACAACUUGUUGAAUCAAGUAUCCACUACGGAGCUAUAGUGGUCAUCACCAUUGAAAUAUUCACCAUGCAUUACUUUUCCAGCAACAUAUGUAGAUGCUCAUUGCUCAGCAGCUAUGGCCACAAAAAAUAAUAUGCAUUGCAUUGAUGCUAAGAGGGAAAGAAGAAAAAACAUUUCACUUAACUUGUUUCACAGCUUCCUUCCUUUCUCUUUGUUACCACUAAAUUUGUGCACGAUGUGACGUCUCUUGUUAAAACUUCAGUUACGUUUUCUUAAUCCUUUCUUACUCAGGAUUAAGAAACCUGAAGUUUUUUACUUUUUUUUUUCUUAGGAAUGACAAAAUUUUGGUUCUACCUAGUACCUAUUUAACAAACUGGCUCUAAACCACAAUCAUCAUUUAAAUUAAAUGAUAAGAAUUUACCACUUUUUCGGCAUGCAGCUGAUUCAUGACACCUCCAUUGAGAAUUGAGAUAGA